UACGGAGGGUGCAAGCGUUGUCCGGAUUUAUUGGGUUUAAAGGGUGCGUAGGCGGCCGUUUAAGUCCGGGGUGAAAGCCCACUGCUCAACAGUGGAACUGCCCUGGAAACUGGACGGCUUGAGUACAGAUGAGGGCGGCGGAAUGGAUGGUGUAGCGGUGAAAUGCAUAGAUACCAUCCAGAACCCCGAUUGCGAAGGCAGCUGCCUAGACUGUAACUGACGCUGAGGCACGAAAGCGUGGGGAUCAAACAGG
rnacentral:rRNA from 1 species